GUGGAAGCUGGUCAGCUGCCCUUUCUGCUGGAAGUAGAACUGGAACCGAGACUGGGCGUACUCCUAGGGAAGGAGGCCCCGCCCGCCAGGCUCUCAAUUAACGUGCCCACUCCCUUGAUGCUUA